rnacentral:rRNA from 1 species
CAGACUCCUACGGGAGGCAGCAGUGAGGAAUAUUGGACAAUGGGCGGGAGCCUGAUCCAGCCAUGCCGCGUGCAGGAAGACGGUCCUAUGGAUUGUAAACUGCUUUUGUACGGGAAGAACAAGGGGCACGUGUGCCCCUCUGACGGUACCGUAAGAAUAAGGAUCGGCUAACUCCGUGCCAGCAGCCGCGGUAAUACGGAGGAUCCGAGCGUUAUCCGGAAUCAUUGGGUUUAAAGGGUCCGUAGGCGGGCCAUUAAGUCAGGGGUGAAAGUCUGCGGCUCAACCGUAGAAUUGCCCUUGAUACUGGUGGUCUUGAGUUAUGGUGAAGUAACUAGAAUAUGUAGUGUAGCGGUGAAAUGCAUAGAUAUUACAUAGAAUACCGAUUGCGAAGGCAGGUUACUAACCAUAUACUGACGCUGAUGGACGAAAGCGUGGGGAGCGAACAGGAUUAGAUACCCUGGUAGUCCACGCCGUAAACGAUGGAUACUAGCUGUCCGGAUGCAAAUCUGGGCGGCCAAGCGAAAGUGAUAAGUAUCCCACCUGGGGAGUACGUCCGCAAGGAUGAAACUCAAAGGAAUUGACGGGGGCCCGCACAAGCGGUGGAGCAUGUGGUUUAAUUCGAUGAUACGCGAGGAACCUUACCAGGGCUUAAAUGUGGUCUGACAGCUUUAGAGAUAGAGCCUCCUUCGGGCAGAUCACAAGGUGCUGCAUGGUUGUCGUCAGCUCGUGCCGUGAGGUGUCAGGUUAAGUCCUAUAACGAGCGCAACCCCUGCCGUUAGUUGCCAGCAUGUAAAGAUGGGGACUCUAACGGGACUGCCGGUGCAAACCGCGAGGAAGGUGGGGAUGACGUCAAAUCAUCACGGCCCUUACGUCCUGGGCCACACACGUGCUACAAUGGCCGGUACAGAGAGCAGCCACUGGGCAACCAGGAGCGAAUCUAUAAAACCGGUCACAGUUCGGAUCGGGGUCUGCAACUCGACCCCGUGAAGCUGGAAUCGCUAGUAAUCGGAUAUCAGCCAUGAUCCGGUGAAUACGUUCCCGGGCCUUGUACACACCGCCCGUCAAGCCAUGGAAGCCGGGAGUGCCUGAAGUCCGUCACCGCAAGGAGCGGC